rnacentral:lncRNA from 1 species
AAUCUCCAAAAUAGCACAUUUCUAAGUUUAUAUCACAAAAUAGCACUCAAAAACUAAAAUGACCAAAAUAGCACCUUUCUAAGUUUAUCUUUUGAAAAUUAUAAUUUUUUUAUUUUUCAAAAUUUGAAAUCUUAUCCCCAAAACCUCAUUUCUCAACUCUAAACCCUAAACUCUAAACCCUAAACCCUAAACUCUAAACCCUAAACCCUAAACCCUAAACCCUAAAUCUAAACCCUAAACCCUAAACUCUAAACCCUAAACCCUAAACC